UCUUGUCUUGUGGCAUCUAUUUGGUCUGAGAGAGGACAUCGGACGUUGAAUUCGGAAGCGGGGGGAUCAUUGGCGGAGUACGAAGCAAUUCGGAAGCGGCGUGGCGUAACGAGAAGGCGGCGCCGGAGAUUCUUCAGUACGAAGGAGCUCUUGUUGAAAGAGCCAAAGAACAGAUCGAAUUUUAGUGGAAGAAACAAUUGAGGAUUGAUGUGGAAAAUGGUAAAGACCCUUUGGACAGAACCCAGUUUCUACUCAGAUCUUAUCUCAGGGUUAGGCUUCUCCCAAGAUAGACAAGUUUUUGUUCCACAACCUCAUGUCAGAAUACAUCGACAGGUGUGCUGAUGAUUUAGCAAAGCUUUUGGAAGAGACUGUACUGCUUAAGUUGCCUGACAAUUAUCACUCGGUUCUCAACCAAUCCCUUAUAAGUGAAGUGGACGAUAUGGUGCCCCUGCCGCAUUUGGACACCUUUGUUGUUUGUCGAAGCAACAACUUUGUCUCCCUCAGUCUAUGAAGAGUGAGAGAAUUCUCUUUCCAUACACAUUUAUACACACAACCUUUCUGUAAUCUAUGUGUGGGUUUUUGCCUUUACUUACUUUGUGAUACGUGAUCAUGGUUAGGUAGAUUAGAGUAUGGUUAGGACAUUUUGGUUUUCAUAUUUUCCUAUAUUUUAAAGUGAUUUCUUUUAUGCAUUAGGGUUAUGAUUAAGUUGUAUGAAAACCUAUAUAAGGUCUAUUAUGAUUAAUAAGAUUGGAAGCCCCAAGAAUUAACCUUAAUCUCAAGAGAGAAUUAGGGUUAAGAGGGAGCUAAGCUUUCAAUCGUUUCUUAA